rnacentral:rRNA from 1 species
GAACCUGAAACCGUGUACGUACAAGCAGUGGGAGCCUCUUAAUGGGGUGACUGCGUACCUUUUGUAUAAUGGGUCAGCGACUUAUAUUCUGUAGCAAGGUUAACCGAAUAGGGGAGCCGAAGGGAAACCGAGUCUUAACUGGGCGUUAAGUUGCAGGGUAUAGACCCGAAACCCGGUGAUCUAGCCAUGGGCAGGUUGAAGGUUGGGUAACACUAACUGGAGGACCGAACCGACUAAUGUUGAAAAAUUAGCGGAUGACUUGUGGCUGGGGGUGAAAGGCCAAUCAAACCGGGAGAUAGCUGGUUCUCCCCGAAAGCUAUUUAGGUAGCGCCUCGUGAAUUCAUCUCCGGGGGUAGAGCACUGUUUCGGCAAGGGGGUCAUCCCGACUUACCAACCCGAUGCAAACUGCGAAUACCGGAGAAUGUUAUCACGGGAGACACACGGCGGGUGCUAACGUCCGUCGUGAAGAGGGAAACAACCCAGACCGCCAGCUAAGGUCCCAAAGUCAUGGUUAAGUGGGAAACGAUGUGGGAAGGCCCAGACAGCCAGGAUGUUGGCUUAGAAGCAGCCAUCAUUUAAAGAAAGCGUAAUAGCUCACUGGUCGAGUCGGCCUGCGCGGAAGAUGUAACGGGGCUAAACCAUGCACCGAAGCUGCGGCAGCGACACUAUGUGUUGUUGGGUAGGGGAGCG